CAAUGACAUGUAGAACCCUCUUUGCCUACUCCAACCCCUCCUUUUCCCCCGUCCCACUCUUAUCGCCAUGGUAACCCAUUGGUAUGAGCCUGUGUCUAAACAGGAAGCCUUGGUUAGUUUUAGCCCGUCUCCCAACCAAGCCCUACCCUGCUGCAGGGAGGAGGGAAGGAGGGGGAGGUGAGAUACAUCCCUACCCUGCUGCAGGGAGGAGGCAAGGAGGGGGAGGUGAGAUAUAUCCCUACCCUGCUGCACGGAGGAGGGAAGGAGGGGGAGGUGAGAUAUAUCCCUACCCUGCUGCAGGGAGGAGGGAGGGGAGGUGAGAUAUAUCCCUACCCUGCUGCAGGGAGGAGGCAGGGGGAGGUGAGAUAUAUCCCUAACCUGCUGCAGGGAGGAGGCAGGGGGAGGUGAGAUAUAUCCCUACCCUGCUGCAGGGGGGAGGCAGGGGGAGGUGAGAUACAUCCCUACCCUGCUGCAGGGAGGAGGCAGGGGGAGGUGAGAUAUAUCCCUAACCUGCUGCAGGGAGGAGGCAGGGGGAGGUGAGAUAUAUCCCUACCCUGCUGCAGGGGGGAGGCAGGGGGAGGUGAGAUACAUCCCUACCCUGCUGCAGGGAGGAGGCAGUGGGAGGUGAGAUAUAUCCCUACCCUGCUGCAGGGAGGAGGCAGGGGGAGGUGAGAUAUAUCCCUACCCUGCUGCAGGGAGGAGGCAGGGGGAGGUGAGAUAUAUCCCUACCCUGCUGCAGGGAGGAGGCAGUGGGAGGUGAGAUAUAUCCCUACCCUGCUGCAGGGAGGAGGCAGGGGGAGGUGAGAUAUAUCCCUAACCUGCUGCAGGGAGGAGGGAAGGAGGGGGAGGUGAGAUACAUCCCUACCCUGCUGCAGGGAGGAGGCAGGGGGAGGUGAGAUAUAUCCCUACCCUGCUGCUGGGAGGAGGGAGGGGAGGCAGGGGGAGGUGAGAUUCAU